GGUAGCACAGAGAGCUUGCUCUCGGGUGACGAGCGGCGGACGGGUGAGUAAUGUCUGGGAAACUGCCUGAUGGAGGGGGAUAACUACUGGAAACGGUAGCUAAUACCGCAUAAUGUCGCAAGACCAAAGUGGGGGACCUUCGGGCCUCAUGCCAUCAGAUGUGCCCAGAUGGGAUUAGCUAGUAGGUGGGGUAACGGCUCACCUAGGCGACGAUCCCUAGCUGGUCUGAGAGGAUGACCAGCCACACUGGAACUGAGACACGGUCCAGACUCCUACGGGAGGCAGCAGUGGGGAAUAUUGCACAAUGGGCGCAAGCCUGAUGCAGCCAUGCCGCGUGUGUGAAGAAGGCCUUCGGGUUGUAAAGCACUUUCAGCGGGGAGGAAGGCGUUAAGGUUAAUAACCUUGUCGAUUGACGUUACCCGCAGAAGAAGCACCGGCUAACUCCGUGCCAGCAGCCGCGGUAAUACGGAGGGUGCAAGCGUUAAUCGGAAUUACUGGGCGUAAAGCGCACGCAGGCGGUCUGUCAAGUCGGAUGUGAAAUCCCCGGGCUCAACCUGGGAACUGCAUUCGAAACUGGCAGGCUAGAGUCUUGUAGAGGGGGGUAGAAUUCCAGGUGUAGCGGUGAAAUGCGUAGAGAUCUGGGAGGAAUACCGGUGGCGAAGGCGGGCCCCCUGGACAAAGACUGACGCUCAGGUGCGAAAGCGUGGGGAGCAAACAGGAUUAGAUACCCUGGUAGUCCACGCCGUAAACGAUGUCGAUUUGGAGGUUGUGCCCUUGAGGCGUGGCUUCCGGAGCUAACGCGUUAAAUCGACCGCCUGGGGAGUACGGCCGCAAGGUUAAAACUCAAAUGAAUUGACGGGGGCCCGCACAAGCGGUGGAGCAUGUGGUUUAAUUCGAUGCAACGCGAAGAACCUUACCUGGUCUUGACAUCCACAGAACUUUCCAGAGAUGGAUUGGUGCCUUCGGGAUCUGUGAGACAGGUGCUGCAUGGCUGUCGUCAGCUCGUGUUGUGAAAUGUUGGGUUAAGUCCCGCAACGAGCGCAACCCUUAUCCUUUGUUGCCAGCGGUUCGGCCGGGAACUCAAAGGAGACUGCCAGUGAUAAACUGGAGGAAGGUGGGGAUGACGUCAAGUCAUCAUGGCCCUUACGACCAGGGCUACACACGUGCUACAAUGGCAUAUACAAAGAGAAGCGACCUCGCGAGAGCAAGCGGACCUCAUAAAGUAUGUCGUAGUCCGGAUUGGAGUCUGCAACUCGACUCCAUGAAGUCGGAAUCGCUAGUAAUCGUAGAUCAGAAUGCUACGGUGAAUACGUUCCCGGGCCUUGUACACACCGCCCGUCACACCAUGGGAGUGGGUUGCAAAAGAAGUAGGUAGCUUAACCUUCGGGAGGGCGCUUACCACUUUGUGAUUCAUGACUGGG
rnacentral:rRNA from 1 species